AUUGAACGCUGGCGGCAUGCCUUACACAUGCAAGUCGAACGGCAGCACGGGGGCAACCCUGGUGGCGAGUGGCGAACGGGUGAGUAAUACAUCGGAACGUGCCCCGUAGCGGGGGACAACCAGUCGAAAGACUGGCUAAUACCGCAUACGCUCCACGGAGGAAAGCAGGGGAUCGCAAGACCUUGCACUAUGGGAGCGGCCGAUGCCCGAUUAGCUAGUUGGUGAGGUAAAGGCUCACCAAGGCAACGAUCGGUAGCUGGUCUGAGAGGACGACCAGCCACACUGGGACUGAGACACGGCCCAGACUCCUACGGGAGGCAGCAGUGGGGAAUUUUGGACAAUGGGCGCAAGCCUGAUCCAGCUAUGCCGCGUGCGGGAAGAAGGCCU
rnacentral:rRNA from 1 species